GCUUGACUGCGAGCGUGACGGCGCGAGCAGGUGCGAAAGCAGGUCAUAGUGAUCCGGUGGUUCUGAAUGGAAGGGCCAUCGCUCAACGGAUAAAAGGUACUCCGGGGAUAACAGGCUGAUACCGCCCAAGAGUUCAUAUCGACGGCGGUGUUUGGCACCUCGAUGUCGGCUCAUCACAUCCUGGGGCUGAAGUAGGUCCCAAGGGUAUGGCUGUUCGCCAUUUAAAGUGGUACGCGAGCUGGGUUUAGAACGUCGUGAGACAGUUCGGUCCCUAUCUGCCGUGGGCGCUGGAGAACUGAGGGGGGCUGCUCCUAGUACGAGAGGACCGGAGUGGACGCAUCACUGGUGUUCGGGUUGUCAUGCCAAUGGCACUGCCCGGUAGCUAAAUGCGGAAGAGAUAAGUGCUGAAAGCAUCUAAGCACGAAACUUGCCCCGAGAUGAGUUCUCCCUGACUCCUUGAGAGUCCUGAAGGAACGUUGAAGACGACGACGUUGAUAGGCCGGGUGUGUAAGCGCAGCGAUGCGUUGAGCUAACCGGUACUAAUGAACCGUGAGG
rnacentral:rRNA from 1 species